GACGAACGCUGGCGGCGUGCUUAACACAUGCAAGUCGAACGGAAAGGCCCUGCUUUUGUGGGGUGCUCGAGUGGCGAACGGGUGAGUAACACGUGAGUAACCUGCCCUUGACUUUGGGAUAACUUCAGGAAACUGGGGCUAAUACCGGAUAGGAGCUCCUGCUGCAUGGUGGGGGUUGGAAAGUUUCGGCGGUUGGGGAUGGACUGGCGGCUUAUCAGCUUGUUGGUGGGGUAGUGGCUUACCAAGGCUUUGACGGGUAGCCGGCCUGAGAGGGUGACCGGCCACAUUGGGACUGAGAUACGGCCCAGACUCCUACGGGAGGCAGCAGUGGGGAAUAUUGCACAAUGGGCGGAAGCCCGAUGCAGCAACGCCGCGUGCGGGAUGACGGCCUUCGGGUUGUAAACCGCUUUCGCCUGUGACGAAGCGUGAGUGACGGUAAUGGGUAAAGAAGCACCGGCUAACUACGUG
rnacentral:rRNA from 1 species